rnacentral:circRNA from 1 species
GAUUCCUACGCCAGCUACGACGUGAACGGCAAUGAUUAUGACCCAUCUCCACGAUAUGAUGCCAGCAAUGAAAAUAAACACGGCACUCGUUGUGCGGGAGAAGUUGCUGCUUCAGCAAACAAUUCCUACUGCAUCGUGGGCAUAGCGUACAAUGCCAAAAUAGGAGGCAUCCGCAUGCUGGACGGCGAUGUCACAGAUGUGGUCGAGGCAAAGUCGCUGGGCAUCAGACCCAACUACAUCGACAUUUACAGUGCCAGCUGGGGGCCGGACGACGACGGCAAGACGGUGGACGGGCCCGGCCGACUGGCUAAGCAGGCUUUCGAGUAUGGCAUUAAAAAGGGCCGGCAGGGCCUGGGCUCCAUUUUCGUCUGGGCAUCUGGGAAUGGCGGGAGAGAGGGGGACUACUGCUCGUGCGAUGGCUACACCAACAGCAUCUACACCAUCUCCGUCAGCAGCGCCACCGAGAAUGGCUACAAGCCCUGGUACCUGGAAGAGUGUGCCUCCACCCUGGCCACCACCUACAGCAGUGGGGCCUUUUAUGAGCGAAAAAUCGUCACCACGGAUCUGCGUCAGCGCUGUACCGAUGGCCACACUGGGACCUCAGUCUCUGCCCCCAUGGUGGCGGGCAUCAUCGCCUUGGCUCUAGAAGCAAA